AAGGAUUUAAGUUAAAUUAAACUCGUAGCCUUCAAAGCUUCAAAUAAAGAUAAAUUUAUGUUCUUUAAGCCUUA
rnacentral:tRNA from 1 species